GACGCAAGCGAAUGAAAAUAUUGUGUGUGUGAGUGGCCUGGUAUGGGUCGAGAGGUGGUUAGUGGUCGCCGAUAUCGGUGAAGGGAGAGAAUGAUCAGAGUGUGUGUGAGUGGCCUGGUGUAGGUCGAGAGAUGGCUAACGGUCACCGAUGAUGGCGACGCAAGUGAAUGAAAAUAGUGUGUGUGUGAGUGGCCUGGUAUAGGUCGUGAGAUGGCUAACGGUCGUCGAAGGUGGUGACGAGAGUGAAUGAUUAGAGUGUGCAUGUGUGGCCUGAUGGGAGGGUCGAUAGGUCACGGAUGGUUGCCGCCGUUGGUGACGAAAAUGAUUGAAACUCGUGUGCGUGCGUGGCCCACUAGGGGUGGAUAGGUGGUUAGUGGUUGCCAACCUUGGCGAUGAAUGGUAUCACUAGCACGCCUGGAGUGCCGUCGGGGAACGGAUGCCUAGGGUAGGUCGAAUUGUAGGUGCAGUAGUGAAAAUUUGAGUUCAAUAGUGAACGAUUGGUAGAGGCAUAGGGUUUUAUACUAUUUCAUUUCACGCAUAUAUUUUGAUUUUUACUGUACUGAGUUAAAGGAACUUACUCUUUCCUUUUUAU
rnacentral:lncRNA from 1 species